AUUGAACGCUGGCGGCAUGCCUUACACAUGCAAGUCGAACGGUAACGGGCCUUCGGGUGCCGACGAGUGGCGAACGGGUGAGUAAUACAUCGGAACGUGCCCGAUCGUGGGGGAUAACGAGGCGAAAGCUUUGCUAAUACCGCAUACGAUCUACGGACGAAAGCAGGGGACCGCAAGGCCUUGCGCGGACGGAGCGGUCGAUGGCAGAUUAGGUAGUUGGUGGGAUAAAAGCUUACCAAGCCGACGAUCUGUAGCUGGUCUGAGAGGAUGAUCAGCCACACUGGGACUGAGACACGGCCCAGACUCCUACGGGAGGCAGCAGUGGGGAAUUUUGGACAAUGGGCGCAAGCCUGAUCCAGCCAUGCCGCGUGCAGGAUGAAGGCCUUCGGGUUGUAAACUGCUUUUGUACGGAACGAAAAGCCUUCUUUUAAUACAGGAGGGUCAUGACGGUACCGUAAGAAUAAGCACCGGCUAACUACGUG
rnacentral:rRNA from 1 species